rnacentral:rRNA from 1 species
GAUGAACGCUAGCGAUAGGCCUAACACAUGCAAGUCGAGGGGCAGCACGAAUUAGCAAUAGUUUGGUGGCGACCGGCGCACGGGUGCGUAACACGUAUAUAACCUACCUUCAAUUGGGGGAUAACCUGGAGAAAUUCGGACUAAUACCCCAUAGUAAACAGAAGAGGCAUCUUUUUUGUUUUAAAGAUUUAUUGAUUGGAGAUGGGUAUGCGUAGGAUUAGCUAGUUGGUAAGGUAACGGCUUACCAAGGCGACGAUCCUUAGGGGUUCUGAGAGGAAGGUCCCCCACACUGGUACUGAGACACGGACCAGACUCCUACGGGAGGCAGCAGUGAGGAAUAUUGGUCAAUGGUCGAGAGACUGAACCAGCCAGGUCGCGUGAAGGAAGACGGCUCUAUGAGUUGUAAACUUCUUUUGUACAGGAGUAAAGUGAGACACGUGUGUUUUAUUGCAAGUACUGUACGAAUAAGCAUCGGCUAACUCCGUGCCAGCAGCCGCGGUAAUACGGAGGAUGCAAGCGUUAUCCGGAUUUAUUGGGUUUAAAGGGUGCGUAGGCGGUAUUACAAGUCAGGGGUGAAAUCUUGGUGCUUAACAUUAAAAUUGCCUUUGAAACUGUGGUACUUGAGUGUAAAAGAGGUAGGCGGAAUGUGUUGUGUAGCGGUGAAAUGCAUAGAUAUAACACAGAACACCGAUUGCGAAGGCAGCUUACUAUCAUACAACUGACGCUGAUGCACGAAAGCGUGGGGAUCAAACAGG